AGGACCUGACUAUGAUAUUCUCUGUUCUGCAACAGUAGACUAUGGGCACCAGUUGUUUAUAAGCCUGGAUGUGUUUAUGUUGAAAACGGAUAGCAGUGACUAAACUAGAUUACUAAGUCUGACGAGGCAUGUGCGCAUUCAGUAAGGUUUGCCAUCACGAUAAGCUUCACCAACUAGAUAAAGAUGGUUUAUGUGAUAUCCACCUGGUACUAAAGCCACCUUGCGCUGCACUAAGUAAUCAUAUGAUGAGAUAGCUACAAGAAGAUGCUCCUAAAUCAUAGAAAUUUAAGUUGUUGAUCGAAGAAAAUAAUAUAUUGGUGGUAUGUACGAGCAACAGACCAGCGAGGAUGAGAAAUGGUGCGUGGCAGUGGUGAGUGGUGACCCUGGCCAGUCUUUGCUGGGGUGGUGCGUGAGGCGGAGUGAUGCAGGGCGCGCUGGUGCCUGUGAAGGACUUUUGACACAGAAAUUUCGUAUCGUCAGCAUUGAGAGUUCGAGAGCAGCUGCUGGACAUGACGGAGCAGAAAUGCCACGUGUACCUCGGUGGGAUCCAGACCAUGCACUACAGAACAUUCGAAGACAAGAUAGGACUUCCAGGAAUGCUGGGCACUGUAGUAGGGGAUGUGAAACCCUUCUGUGGGAGCCGGAAGAUAGGACUUCCAGGAAUGCUGGGCACUGUAGUAGGGGAUGUGAAACCCUUCUGUGGGAGCCGGAAGAUAGGACUUCCAGGAAUGCUGGGCACUGUAGUAGGGGAUAUGAAACCCUUCUGUGGGAGGCAGGAGGGAUGUGUGACAGUGUUUGGAAGGCAGGAGGGAUGUGUGACAGCAUCUGGAAUGUGCAGGCUGGGUGUUGAAAGCUAUGGGUUAGAGAGUUUGACCUCCACUGAAGUGUAAGGGUGUUGGAACUUGUUAGGGAAAGGAUGAGAAGAGAAUAAGAGAAUAAGAGCAGGCAAGGAUGGAGUGAUGGAGUCUGUGACGGAAGGGAUAAGAGGUGAAUGAGAGAAUUUGAACAAGUAAGGAUGGAAACAAAUGAAGGAUGGAGUGAUGGAGUGUGUGAGGGAGAGGAUAGGAAGGGAAUAAGAAGACUUAAACAUGCAAGGAUGGAAAUAAAUGAAGGAUGGAGUAUGUGAAGGAGACAAGAUGAGAGAAAGAAAAUUAGAACAUUCAAGGUGGAAACAGAUAGAGGAUGGAGUGAUGGAGUGUGUGAGGAAGAGGAAGAGGACAAGGAAGAAUCAGAGGGUUGGAGCAUGGAUGGAGGAAAUACAAGGACAGGAAUAAACAGAUGGAUAAAUAAAUAGAGAAAGUAAAGGAGGCUUGGAAAAUAUUAAACUGUUGAGGAAAUGUAGGAGAGCUGGAAAGUACUUGAUAGAAUAAUGACAUUACAAAAAGUAAUUAGUGACGUGACAGAUCUGGUGAUAUAAAAAGUUGAAAAUGAAUGAAAAUAUUGAUGAUGCUAUUGUUAAUGAUGUGUUGAUUGUAAUGCAGCACAAUCUGCCACCAGGAAAGCCUUCAGGUUGUUGAGAAAUGAGCCAAGAAUCUUCAGGGAGACCGCAUCAAACAGUAUGCUCAACGCUAACACCUAUAGAUAUGUGCUCUAGGUAGGUCUAUCUACUUCUGUCUCUGCACCGACACACGUCCUCCCUGCACGAGUGUCCUCAGCAAAGUGUCCCUGUCGUCCUCAGCUAGUGCCUGGCUUCCUGCCCUGUCCAUCGUCAUCCAUUAGCGACGGCGUUAAGGCCGGCCUCAUCUCAGCCUCAUGUCAUAGCAAGCAUCCUUCAUCUCCUUACAUCAACAUUAUCUCAACACCGACCGUACAAGAAACUCGCUGACUUAGGCCUCGUCCUGAUCCUCGCCCUCACCGCCAGGUCCUUUCCUUCCUCAAUGACAAACUCGCUUGCACAACAACAACUUCUUUCACCCGCUUGAUGGUAACAAUGUGUAUGAAUGUGUAUGCAUGUAAUUAACGUUAAUUUAUAUCUUUUUGUGUGUGAUUGUGUAUAUCUUUGAAAACGAUCAUUCACAUCAAAGCGUGAUUGCUCUCUGUGUGACAAUGGCUCAACUCAAGCAAGUCUGCACGAGCUGCGGCUCAACACACUUCGCUAGAAAAGGCAAAUGUUACAGUAAUUCUUGUAUUAAUAUUAUAAAGCAAUAAACUUUACUUACUUACCUACACACACACACACACACACACACACACACACACACACACACACACACACACACACACACACACAUGAAAAAAAAU